ensembl:lncRNA LINC01029 long intergenic non-protein coding RNA 1029
CUUUUUGCCUGCCGCCAUCCACGUAAGCAUGAGGCGACUCAGAAGGAGCAUGAGCAGAGAUGACCCUAAUAGGUGGUGCCAACACAGUUUCCCUGAGAAGUUGAAAUCGAGGACUGGUGCCCACUGAGGAGGUCUGAGGAGAGGAGGACUCAGAGCAGCCAGAAGGAGAGUGCAUGAGAUUAUAUAAAGACUCAGAGAAGAGAUACAGCUCCUCCCGCACCAGAGAAAUGCAGCUCCGUGAGCCCCGAUGGAGCCAGCAUGCUGCUGGGUGCUGAGGAGCAGGCAGAGGCACCCAGGAUGGCGGUCCCCAAGGAGAACGGAGGCACAGAACAACGCAUGAGGGGCCACAUGACUUAGGGCCGGGAUCGGUCACUCAGCCAGCAAAAACACUGGAAGAAAACAAAACAACUUCAGACUCUAUGCUGCAUUUCCGUAAUAUAUCUGCCCAAAGACUGGACAACAAAGGUAAAGGAGGCUGAUGAGGAAACGAAAGGAUCCGUGGUUCUUGGCUCGCUGGGUGGCUCAUCAACAAAGCCCCAGCAUCACUCCUGCAGAUGCCCUAGCCUGGCCUGGGCUGGGAUGGGCAAAAUUCACCAUGGGACUCUUGUUCAAGAGAGGGAGAUCAAAGCCAGAAACACUUACCCAGAAUGGCCAUGCAGACUAAAAUUCCAAUUCUAAAAAUACUUUUAAAAUGUAACGUACAACAAAGGAAAGCUGGAAAAAUAUUUAAAAAAGGAUGAAAGGGCAAGAAAAAUUCAACCCACGACCUCAAGGCGAUUAUAAUCUGUGUUCUGCUGCUUCCCAGAGCCGCUUCAGUCUUCAGCUCAGAGUCUACCAGACACUAAAAUGCAACUGAACACUCAGUUCAUACUUGUUCUUCUAAUUAGCUGCCUCUUCCAUUUGAUUAAUAUUGCCUCCUAAUUUAAUUGUAAAUUGUAUUUCUGGUUUAUAUUUCGCUUCUCCCUCCUGUUGUACCUGGUGACCAUCUUCAUUAAUCAUAUUGUAGCUUUUUAAUGAAUCUCAUAUGCCAAUUUAUGGUGAACAAGACUUGAUAUGAAGGCAUCUUCAUCAAAUCAUUCAUAAUCUUGUAACUAUUGGUUUAUUUUCUGUAACGACCUAUAAAUGUACACCAAAAAAAUGAAAGAUUCCCCCUAAAAUGUAAUGGGACAGAACUUUGUUUACGUAGAUUUCUGAGGAUGGGUUGAGACGCCAAAUUCCGCUUGUGUUUGGAAUUUCUAUUUCACUGGGCUUAGUGAGGGUGCCCAUGUUUUGCAAUCCUGUGCUCUAGAAUCUAUCAUAAACAGAUUCUUCUAAUUGUUUGACAUUAAACUGCAAAUUUGU